UGUGGAGUACGGCCCACCANGNCGACGACGGGUAGCUGGUCUGAGAGGACUACCAGCCACACUGGAACUGAGACGGUCCAGACUCCUACGGGAGGCAGCAGUGGGGAAUAUUGCACAAUGGGCGAAAGCCUGAUGCAGCGACGCCGCGUGAGGGAUGAAGGCCUUCGGGUCGUAAACCUCUUUCGGCAGGGACGAAGCGAUCAGUGACGGUACCUGCAGAAGAAGCCCCGGCUAACUACGUGCCAGCAGCCGCGGUAAGACGUAGGGGGCGAGCGUUGUCCGGAUUCAUUGGGCGUAAAGCGCGCGUAGGCGGCUGCGCAAGUCGGUUGUGAAAUUCCGGGGCUCAACCCCGGAACUGCGUCCGAUACUGCGUGGCUAGAGGUAGGUAGGGGAGAUCGGAAUUCCUGGUGUAGCGGUGAAAUGCGCAGAUAUCAGGAGGAACACCGGUGGCGAAGGCGGAUCUCUGGGCCUUACCUGACGCUCAGGCGCGAAAGCUAGGGGAGCGAACAGGAUUANAUACCCUGGUAGUCCUAGCCGUAAACGUUGGGUGCUAGGUGUGG
rnacentral:rRNA from 1 species